AUUAGUACAAUUAAUGUAUUUAUUUUAAUUAAAUUAUCAAUAUUUAUUUAUUGUAUUCUUAGUGUUUGAAAAUUCCAAUACUAGCAUUAAGAUAAAAAAAAAUAUCAGAAAUAUAUUUAUACUCAUUAAUUAUUAUUGCUUUUCUUAUUAUUACUUCCUUCAAUGUCCUGGCACUUUGACAUCUAGUGUUUUUCUGUCUAGCAGCCAAAAUUGUGGUCUUUCUGAAUGUGUAUGUCCUAAGUCUUCAUUGGUGUAUCUAGCUAUAUAACAAAAAUCUGCAUCUCUCUCUCUUCUCACCCAGUUGUCCCCGUACAUCCUUUUAGUAUCCAAAGAAUUUCAAUUUACAUCUUGUAAUCACUCAACUAAUGCAGUGCAAUCCUCAUCUCUGUAUUUUACCGUGUGGACAUACUCUUUCCUUCCAUGUUCCACUGUCGUAUGUUAUUCCACAUCUAACACAACCACAUCCCAACAGAUCCGAACACGUCCGAUAUCAUCCAAGAGAAUGUGGCAGCUGAAGGGGGAGAGGCCAAGAAAGAGGCCAAGGGUGAAGACAUUUAGCCACCCCCCCUGAAGUACAUGGCAGCAUUCAACCCUCUUGGUGAGCUGCAGGAAUGUGCUUCCCAUUGCAGUGCACCAGCUCCAUGUACUGAUUUUGGUGUGAACUUGAUGGGGUUGGAGGAAACUCGACUUGGCCAUCAAGCUCACCACAAUAUAACAUGAAAAGUGAAAAUUGAUGCACACAACAGUCUGUCGUCUGCACCGGGAGGCAAGGCAGCUCAAAGCCCAGGCUGUUACAACUCCUGGGCAGUUUUUGCCCAGAGCCAGCAAUUUUUUAGAUCCAAUAGGGAUGGAUUUUUUCUGAGGUCAGGUUCAACAUGCUGCAAGAUGCCAAGAUCUAAGCCUAGUAGGAGAUAUGGGUUACAAGAGAGGAGGUUUGCUCUGGCCUUAUACUAUCAAAGUCCAAAUGCUAAUAGAUUUCUGAGCACAGUAUUUUACUUGUCUUCAGUUUCAACACUUCACUCAUGACUCAGGGGUAUUUCAGUACAUGUUGGCUGGAGCAAACAGACUCUGACAGCCCUGCAGCAAAGAGCACAGGCUUUGUCAAAAGAAGAGAAACUUUGUGAGAUUUGCCAUUAUUUAGUAUUACUCUUGUUACGCCAAGAAUUUUUUUCCAUAUACUUUGCCAGAUAUUGCAAGUAAUGCACCAUUGUUGGGCUUGAUUGUUAUAAAUCAGAUCUUGUUCAAUUAACAAGCUUUGGGUGUCUGCCACUUUCCAGUUGUAAUGCAAGGAAUCAUUUAUCUUCCCUGCUAGAUAUCACACGUAAUGCACCAUUGUUGGUUUUGCUUGUUAUAAAUCAGAUCUUGUUCAGUUAAAAAGCUUUAGGUGUCUGCCACUUUCCAAUUGUAAUGCAAGGAAUCCCCUGCCAGAUAUCGCAUGUAAUGCACCAUUGUUGGUUUUGCCUAUUAUAAAUCAGAUCUUGUUCAGCUCACAAGCUUUGAAUAUCUGCCAUUGUUUAUUUCAGGUGUAAUGCUUGGAAGCAUUUGUUCUCUUCCCUACCCAACAGUAUGCAAUGCUUUAUUGUGGAUUUUGCCUGUUAUGUUUAAUCUUGUUCAGGUAACAAGCUUUUGAUGUCUGCCUUACCUAAUAAUGUGCUGCAGUGACACUUGGCUUGGUUUCAUAAUGUGAAAUACAGCAUGUAAUUUCAUCACACUAAGUGUCUAUCAUCACGUGUCUGGCAUCGUUAAUGUGGCUUC